UCCCAGACUCCUACGGGAGGCAGCAGUGGGGAAUAUUGCACAAUGGGGGGAACCCUGAUGCAGCGACGCCGCGUGGGUGAAGGAGCACCUCGGUGCGUAAAGCCCUAUCGGCAGGGAAGAAAAGCGAACAGGUUCGCCUGGACGGUACCUGACUAAGAAGCCCCGGCUAACUACGGGCCAGCAGCCGCGGGAAUACGUAGGGGGCAAGCGUUAUCCGGAUUUACUGGGUGUAAAGGGAGCGUAGACGGCAAGGCAAGUCUGGAGUGAAAGCCCGUGGCUCAACCACGGGACUGCUUUGGAAACUGUGUUGCUGGAGUGCAGGAGGGGUAAGCGGAAUUCCUAGUGUAGCGGUGAAAUGCGUAGAUAUUAGGAGGAACACCGGUGGCGAAGGCGGCUUACUGGACUGUAACUGACGUUGAGGCUCGAAGGCGUGGGGAGCAAACAGGAUUAGAUACCCCCGGUAU
rnacentral:rRNA from 1 species